rnacentral:rRNA from 1 species
GACGAACGCUGGCGGCGUGCUUAACACAUGCAAGUCGAACGGAAAGGCCCUGCUUUUGUGGGGUGCUCGAGUGGCGAACGGGUGAGUAACACGUGAGUAACCUGCCCUUGACUUUGUGAUAACUUCAGGAAACUGGGGCUAAUACCGGAUAGGAGCUCCUGCUGCAUGGUGGGGGUUGGAAAGCUUCGGCGGUUGGGGAUGGACUCGCGGCUUAUCAGCUUGUUGGUGGGGUAGUGGCUUACCAAGGCUUCGACGGGUAGCCGGCCUGGGAGGGUGACCGGCGACAUUGGGACUGCGAUAGGGCCCAGACUCGUACGGGAGGCAGCAGUGGGGAAUAUUGCACAAUGGGCGGAAGCGUGAUGCAGCAACGCCGCGUGCGGGAUGACGGCCUUCGGGUUGUAAACCGCUUUCGCCUGUGACGAAGCGUGAGUGACGGUAAUGGGUAAAGAAGCACCGGCUAACUACGUG